AAAAAAAAGGUAAACAUUUCAGCGACAAGAAUGUAUUUAGUUGAGGGAAAAAGAAAAGUGAGAAACUAAUUCAGAUUGAAAAAAUUAGGAUUUCAUAAUUGUUGCCCCGUGACAACACACAAAAUAAUUGCCUCAACGAUGCCACAUCCGCUGGUGACGUGGUGGCGUUGACACCAGGUAAGAUUUUCCCACAUAAAGGACGACUGUCCAUUUACAUACAGCCAAAAGCAACAUUUUAUGGGACCCAAUGACUUAGGCAGGAUUCGUAUUUGACCUUCUAUGAGUUUGGACACGGGCAGACGUGUAGUCAAUUACGUGUAGUCCAUUUAAGUUUUGUGCAAUCCACCAAUACGCCUAUGUUUUGGAUGACACUCUAAUUUCUCCUGUUAUUCUUAUAUUUUGUGCACUGCAGGCUUUUAUUUGUUCUCUCG
rnacentral:lncRNA from 1 species